rnacentral:lncRNA from 1 species
AGGUCAUCCACAGCAAUCCAAAGAGGAAGAAAACUGCAGGUACAGAGACCAGAACUACAAAUAGUACAAAGAACUACUGGAAAGAAGCUCUUCUCCAACGUCUCGCCUCUUGUGCGGAUUGCUUCCUAUCCAAGAUCAUCAGACCUGGUGAGAGGUUAGAUUGUGCAGCUUUCGGCUGUCACAACGAACAAUGAGUUCAGGAAGAGACUGGGAAGUCUUCAAGCAAAGAAAAUGAACAUCUUUCUGGGAUUCUUGGACAGCUGCCAUCUCACA